GACCAAGGGUUCCUGUCCAACGUUAAUCGGGGCAGGGUGAGUCGACCCCUAAGGCGAGGCCGAAAGGCGUAGUCGAUGGGAAACAGGUUAAUAUUCCUGUACUUGGUGUUACUGCGAAGGGGGGACGGAGAAGGCUAUGUUGGCCGGGCGACGGUUGUCCCGGUUUAAGCGUGUAGGCUGGUUUUCCAGGCAAAUCCGGAAAAUCAAGGCUGAGGCGUGAUGACGAGGCACUACGGUGCUGAAGCAACAAAUGCCCUGCUUCCAGGAAAAGCCUCUAAGCAUCAGGUAACAUCAAAUCGUACCCCAAACCGACACAGGUGGUCAGGUAGAGAAUACCAAGGCGCUUGAGAGAACUCGGGUGAAGGAACUAGGCAAAAUGGUGCCGUAACUUCGGGAGAAGGCACGCUGAUAUGUAGGUGAAGUCCCUUGCGGAUGGAGCUGAAAUCAGUCGAAGAUACCAGCUGGCUGCAACUGUUUAUUAAAAACACAGCACUGUGCAAACACGAAAGUGGACGUAUACGGUGUGACGCCUGCCCGGUGCCGGAAGGUUAAUUGAUGGGGUUAGCGGUAACGCGAAGCUCUUGAUCGAAGCCCCGGUAAACGGCGGCCGUAACUAUAACGGUCCUAAGGUAGCGAAAUUCCUUGUCGGGUAAGUUCCGACCUGCACGAAUGGCGUAAUGAUGGCCAGGCUGUCUCCACCCGAGACUCAGUGAAAUUGAACUCGCUGUGAAGAUGCAGUGUACCCGCGGCAAGACGGAAAGACCCCGUGAACCUUUACUAUAGCUUGACACUGAACAUUGAGCCUUGAUGUGUAGGAUAGGUGGGAGGCUUUGAAGUGUGGACGCCAGUCUGCAUGGAGCCGACCUUGAAAUACCACCCUUUAAUGUUUGAUGUUCUAACGUUGACCCGUAAUCCGGGUUGCGGACAGUGUCUGGUGGGUAGUUUGACUGGGGCGGUCUCCUCCUAAAGAGUAACGGAGGAGCACGAAGGUUGGCUAAUCCUGGUCGGACAUCAGGAGGUUAGUGCAAUGGCAUAAGCCAGCUUGACUGCGAGCGUGACGGCGCGAGCAGGUGCGAAAGCAGGUCAUAGUGAUCCGGUGGUUCUGAAUGGAAGGGCCAUCGCUCAACGGAUAAAAGGUACUCCGGGGAUAACAGGCUGAUACCGCCCAAGAGUUCAUAUCGACGGCGGUGUUUGGCACCUCGAUGUCGGCUCAUCACAUCCUGGGGCUGAAGUAGGUCCCAAGGGUAUGGCUGUUCGCCAUUUAAAGUGGUACGCGAGCUGGGUUUAGAACGUCGUGAGACAGUUCGGUCCCUAUCUGCCGUGGGCGCUGGAGAACUGAGGGGGGCUGCUCCUAGUACGAGAGGACCGGAGUGGACGCAUCACUGGUGUUCGGGUUGUCAUGCCAAUGGCACUGCCCGGUAGCUAAAUGCGGAAGAGAUAAGUGCUGAAAGCAUCUAAGCACGAAACUUGCCCCGAGAUGAGUUCUCCCUGACUCCUUGAGAGUCCUGAAGGAACGUUGAAGACGACGACGUUGAUAGGCCGGGUGUGUAAGCGCAGCGAUGCGUUGAGCUAACCGGUACUAAUGAACCGUGAG
rnacentral:rRNA from 1 species